CGUGGUUUCAGGAUCCAUCUGGCAGAGGUCUGUGAUCAGCCUGUUGGAAAACCCACCUCUGGGCACGGUUGCACGAAUGGAGGUUCUGAGCAGGAGGUGGGCCUGAUCAAAGUUGUUUAAUCUGACUUUUAAGGACGGAAAUACUGGAACUCUGGAACCCUGUUGAGAUGCAAUUGCAGGAAUCUAAAUAAAAGGUUUUUAGGUGCACUGCACAGUUUGGAAACUGAGUUAUACGGUGGCCUAAGCCAUAGACAAGCACUGCCGAGGGAACUAACGAAGAUCCAAAGGGAGGAACUAGUCUUGUUUUUUAAAGCUAUUUAAUCCACAAAGUGAAAUAGAAGAUUGAGGUGGAAGACUGAGCCAAUUGCCCAGACCAGCACAAUGAAUGGCACCUAGUCAUAACUUGGUAAGAAGCAAUGAGCAGACACACAGCUACGGUGCUUCCGAUAUGUGGCAACAGUGCAGUGAGUGUCACUUGACAGAUCCAUCUGGAGACGAGUCAGCUAAUAUGUACAAGUUGUCAUGGGAACGGAUGACGGUAACGUAAGAAGUGUGGGUGUGCAUCCCGUGGACUCCACCGUUCUUAUAAGAAAGGAGAAAUGCUUGAAUUAAACUACAAAAAGUAUUGAGUGUUCUUCAACAUUAUUUUAAACACUUCCCAACCUUAGGUGCAUGAUACAGAACUGGAUAGUUCCUUCUGGCUUUGUGAUACAGGGAUAUAAGUAAUUAUAUUUAGAGAUGUUUUCGGGGGAGAGUGUGUAACAUGGAAGCUUUGGAAGCACAGCUAUACUUAGGCUGGGCCAUCUUAUUUUGAGUGCUAUCCUCUAUAGGCCUCAUUUUCCAUCUUGUAUUAUAAAUCUCAUUACAUGGUACAGAUUAAGUACUUAAAAAUCUUGAAUUUGUGCUUUAACAUCAUGGGCAAUAAGUCAGAGUUUUCAACCUUGAUAAAUUGAAUGUAUUAGUAUACAUGCAGAGCUAAAUCCCACCUAGAAGUCUGGCUAGCAGACAGGUGAAACUUCUAGAUGGAAACAAUUAAGACAUACAUGUCACAAUUAGUUGGAAAAGGGACCCUGAAUUUGAAAGAGAGCAAGGAGAGGUACAAGGAGAGUUUAGAAGGAGGAAAGGGUGAAAUGAUACAUUAUAAUCUUGAAAAUAAAAAAAUAACUUUAAAAUAAAUGCUACAUCUAGAGCUACCCUGUUUCACUCAACAGUCAUAUGCUGUGGAUGAGGAGUUUUGUAACAUUGUCUUUGUCCAGGUAUUCUGCAUCUCAGCAUCCUCUUGUGCUCUUUUACAAGAGUGCUAAUUCUGUAAUCUAGAAAGAAGUGGAAAUGUGAGAAUGAAUUCAUUAUUUAGCAAAUGACUUGAAGAUUCAAAAACAAUUAAUGAAAAAGUGCCCAGAAUCUAUAAAGGGUUCAGCUUUCAAUCACUAUUCUCACGUCUGCAAACACACAGACCUGAGGGCUACAGAGAGCCUCAUUCCUCCAACUGUUCUUAUCAUGGACAAAAUUUUGAAGAAAAAAAUAUCAGUGCUCAAUUUAUGUUUUUUCACACCUAAUGAGGUGAGAAAUUCUAGUCAGGCCCAAGAAACAUUUUUGGUGUACUGGAAUUUGAUCUCUGUGAAAUUUAGCAGUUUCAUUGUGACAGUUUUAGCUUAAAUUUGCAUAGUUUUCUCUUGCAUUGUUUUAAAGUUAUGCUUUUCUUUGCUAAUAACACAGAUGGCUCCGAAUACAAA